AUUGAACGCUGGCGGCAGGCUUAACACAUGCAAGUCGAGCGGGGUGAUGGUGCUUGCACUAUCACUUAGCGGCGGACGGGUGAGUAAUGCUUAGGAAUCUGCCUAUUAGUGGGGGACAACAUCUCGAAAGGGAUGCUAAUACCGCAUACGUCCUACGGGAGAAAGCAGGGGAUCACUUGUGACCUUGCGCUAAUAGAUGAGCUUAAGUCGGAAUAGCUAGUUGGUGGGGUAAAGGCCUACCAAGGCGACGAUCUGUAGCGGGUCUGAGGGGAUGAUCCGCCACACUGGGACUGAGACACGGCCCAGACUCCUACGGGAGGCAGCAGUGGGGAAUAUUGGACAAUGGGGGGAACCCUGAUCCAGCCAUGCCGCGUGUGUGAAGAAGGCCUUAUGGUUGUAAAGCACUUUAAGCGAGGAGGAGGCUCUUUUGGUUAAUACCCAAGAUGAGUGGACGUUACUCGCAGAAUAAGCACCGGCUAACUCUGUGCCAGCAGCCGCGGUAA
rnacentral:rRNA from 1 species